rnacentral:rRNA from 1 species
UGUAGGCGGUUCGUAAGUAAAGAUGUGAAAGCCCCGAGCUUAACCUGGGAAUUGCAUCUUAAACUGGUUGGCUAGAGUCUGGUAGAGGGGGGAAGAAUUCCACGUGUAGCGGUGAAAUGCGUAGAGAUGUGGAGGAAUACCGAUGGCGAAGGCGGCCCCCUGGAAUAAGACUGACGCUCAGAUGCGAAAGCGUGGGGAGCAAACAGGAUUAG